rnacentral:rRNA from 1 species
GACGAACGCUGGCGGCGUGCUUAACACAUGCAAGUCGAACGGAAAGGCCUGCUUUCCCUUCUGGAUUGCGGGUCCUCGAGUGGCGAACGGGGGAGUAACACGUGAUCUAUCUGCCCCCAACUUGGGUAUAAGCCUGGGAAACUGGGUCUAAUUCCCGAUAGAACUGCAGGGUGGUGCCUGUGGUGGGAAAUGAUUUUCUAGUGUUUGGGGAUGAGCUCGUGGCCUAUCAGCUGGUUGGUGGGGUAAUGGCCUACCAAGCCGGCGACGGGUAGCCGGCGUGUGAGCGGGGACGGUCAAAUUGGGACACGGUCCAGGCCCAGACGGGUACGAGAGGUAGGAGAUGGGAAUAUUGGGCAGUGAGCGUGAGCCAGAUGCAGCGAGUGCGCGUGGGGGAUGAUGGGGUUCGGGUUGUAAACUCUUUGGGAAGACGAGGAGGCCAUCUGGUUGGAGGGGUGGUGACGGUAGUGGAAGAAGAAGCACCGGCUAACUACGUG